rnacentral:rRNA from 1 species
CCGGCACGGGUGAGUAACACGUAUCCAACCUGCCGUCUACUCUUGGACAGCCUUCUGAAAGGAAAGAAUUAAUACAAGAUGGCAUCAUGAGUCCGCAUGUCACAUGAUUAAAGGUAUUCCGGUAGACGAUGGGGAUGCGUUCCAUUAGAUAGUAGGCGGGGUAACGGCCCACCUAGUCUUCGAUGGAUAGGGGUUCUGAGAGGAAGGUCCCCCACAUUGGAACUGAGACACGGUCCAA